CUAUACAUGCAAGUCGAACGAACUCUGGUAUUGAUUGGUGCUUGCAUCAUGAUUUACAUUUGAGUGAGUGGCGAACUGGUGAGUAACACGUGGGAAACCUGCCCAGAAGCGGGGGAUAACACCUGGAAACAGAUGCUAAUACCGCAUAACAACUUGGACCGCAUGGUCCGAGCUUGAAAGAUGGCUUCGGCUAUCACUUUUGGAUGGUCCCGCGGCGUAUUAGCUAGAUGGUGGGGUAACGGCUCACCAUGGCAAUGAUACGUAGCCGACCUGAGAGGGUAAUCGGCCACAUUGGGACUGAGACACGGCCCAAACUCCUACGGGAGGCAGCAGUAGGGAAUCUUCCACAAUGGACGAAAGUCUGAUGGAGCAACGCCGCGUGAGUGAAGAAGGGUUUCGGCUCGUAAAACUCUGUUGUUAAAGAAGAACAUAUCUGAGAGUAACUGUUCAGGUAUUGACGGUAUUUAACCAGAAAGCCACGGCUAACUACGUGCCAGCAGCCGCGGUAAUACGUAGGUGGCAAGCGUUGUCCGGAUUUAUUGGGCGUAAAGCGAGCGCAGGCGGUUUUUUAAGUCUGAUGUGAAAGCCUUCGGCUCAACCGAAGAAGUGCAUCGGAAACUGGGAAACUUGAGUGCAGAAGAGGACAGUGGAACUCCAUGUGUAGCGGUGAAAUGCGUAGAUAUAUGGAAGAACACCAGUGGCGAAGGCGGCUGUCUGGUCUGUAACUGACGCUGAGGCUCGAAAGUAUGGGUAGCAAACAGGAUUAGAUACCCUGGUAGUCCAUACCGUAAACGAUGAAUGCUAAGUGUUGGAGGGUUUCCGCCCUUCAGUGCUGCAGCUAACGCAUUAAGCAUUCCGCCUGGGGAGUACGGCCGCAAGGCUGAAACUCAAAGGAAUUGACGGGGGCCCGCACAAGCGGUGGAGCAUGUGGUUUAAUUCGAAGCUACGCGAAGAACCUUACCAGGUCUUGACAUACUAUGCAAAUCUAAGAGAUUAGACGUUCCCUUCGGGGACAUGGAUACAGGUGGUGCAUGGUUGUCGUCAGCUCGUGUCGUGAGAUGUUGGGUUAAGUCCCGCAACGAGCGCAACCCUUAUUAUCAGUUGCCAGCAUUAAGUUGGGCACUCUGGUGAGACUGCCGGUGACAAACCGGAGGAAGGUGGGGAUGACGUCAAAUCAUCAUGCCCCUUAUGACCUGGGCUACACACGUGCUACAAUGGAUGGUACAACGAGUUGCGAACUCGCGAGAGUAAGCUAAUCUCUUAAAGCCAUUCUCAGUUCGGAUUGUAGGCUGCAACUCGCCUACAUGAAGUCGGAAUCGCUAGUAAUCGCGGAUCAGCAUGCCGCGGUGAAUACGUUCCCGGGCCUUGUACACACCGCCCGUCACACCAUGAGAGUUUGUAACACCCAAAGUCGGUGGGGUAACCUUUUAGGAACCAGCCGCCUAAGG
rnacentral:rRNA from 2 species